rnacentral:rRNA from 1 species
AGUCGAGCGGACAGAUGAGAGCUUGCUCCCUGAUGUUAGCGGCGGACGGGUGAGUAACACGUGGGUAACCUGCCUGUAAGACUGGGAUAACUCCGGGAAACCGGGGCUAAUACCGGAUGGUUGUUUGAACCGCAGGUUCAGACAUAAAAGGUGGCUUCGGCUACCACUUACAGAUGGACCCGCGGCGCAUUAGCUAGUUGGUGAGGUAACGGCUCACCAAGGCAACGAUGCGUAGCCGACCUGAGAGGGUGAUCGGCCACACUGGGACUGAGACACGGCCCAGACUCCUACGGGAGGCAGCAGUAGGGAAUCUUCCGCAAUGGACGAAAGUCUGACGGAGCAACGCCGCGUGAGUGAUGAAGGUUUUCGGAUCGUAAAGCUCUGUUGUUAGGGAAGAACAAGUGCCGUUCAAAUAGGGCGGCACCUUGACGGUACCUAACCAGAAAGCCACGGCUAACUACGUGCCAGCAGCCGCGGUAAUACGUAGGUGGCAAGCGUUGUCCGGAAUUAUUGGGCGUAAAGGGCUCGCAGGCGGUUUCUUAAGUCUGAUGUGAAAGCCCCCGGCUCAACCGGGGAGGGUCAUUGGAAACUGGGGAACUUGAGUGCAGAAGAGGAGAGUGGAAUUCCACGUGUAGCGGUGAAAUGCGUAGAGAUGUGGAGGAACACCAGUGGCGAAGGCGACUCUCUGGUCUGUAACUGACGCUGAGGAGCGAAAGCGUGGGGAGCGAACAGGAUUAGAUACCCUGGUAGUCCACGCCGUAAACGAUGAGUGCUAAGUGUUAGGGGGUUUCCGCCCCUUAGUGCUGCAGCUAACGCAUUAGGCACUCCGCCUGGGGAGUACGGUCGCAAGACUGAAACUCAAAGGAAUUGACGG